rnacentral:rRNA from 1 species
UACGUAGGGUGCAAGCGUUAAUCGGAAUUACUGGGCGUAAAGCGUGCGCAGGCGGUUUUGUAAGUCUGACGUGAAAUCCCCGGGCUCAACCUGGGAAUUGCGUUGGAGACUGCAAGGCUGGAGUCUGGGCAGAGGGGGGGUAGAAUUCCACGUGUAGCAGUGAAAUGCGUAGAGAUGUGGAGGAACACCGAUGGCGAAGGGCAGCCCCCUGGGUCAAGACUGACGCUCAUGC